GGAAAAGAAACCAACAGGGAUUGCCCCAGUAACGGCGAGUGAAGCGGCAACAGCUCAAAUUUGAAAUCUGGCCCCAGGCCCGAGUUGUAAUUUGCAGAGGAUGCUUUUGGCGCGGUGCCUUCCGAGUUCCCUGGAACGGGACGCCAUAGAGGGUGAGAGCCCCGUACGGUUGGACACCAAGCCUUUGUAAAGCUCCUUCGACGAGUCGAGUAGUUUGGGAAUGCUGCUCAAAAUGGGAGGUAUAUUUCUUCUAAAGCUAAAUAUUGGCCAGAGACCGAUAGCGCACAAGUAGAGUGAUCGAAAGAUGAAAAGCACUUUGAAAAGAGGGUUAAACAGCACGUGAAAUUGUUGAAAGGGAAGCGCUUGUGACCAGACUUGCGCCCGGUGAAUCACCCAGCUCUCGCGGCUGGGGCACUUUGCCGGCACAGGCCAGCAUCAGCUCGCUGUCGGGGACAAAAGCUUCGGGAACGUAGCUCUCUUCGGGGAGUGUUAUAGCCCGUUGCAUAAUACCCUUCGGUGGGCUGAGGUACGCGCUCCGCAAGGAUGCUGGCGUAAUGGUCAUCAGCGACCCGUCUUGAAACACGGACCAAGGAGUCAACCUUAUGUGCGAGUGUUUGGGUGUCAAACCCCUACGCGUAAUGAAAGUGAACGCAGGUGAGAGCUUCGGCGCAUCAUCGACCGAUCCUGAUGUUCUCGGAUGGAUUUGAGUAAGAGCAUAUAGGGUUGGACCCGAAAGAAGGUGAACUAUGCGUGUAUAGGGUGAAGCCAGAGGAAACUCUGGUGGAGGCUCGCAGCGGUUCUGACGUGCAAAUCGAUCGUCAAAUAUGCGCAUGGGGGCGAAAGACUAAUCGAACCU
rnacentral:rRNA from 1 species